CNACCUGCCGAUGACUCGGGGAUAGCCUUUCGAAAGAAAGAUUAAUACCCGAUGGCAUAGUUCUUCCGCAUGGUGGAACUAUUAAAGAAUUUCGGUCAUCGAUGGGGAUGCGUUCCAUUAGGUUGUUGGCGGGGUAACGGCCCACCAAGCCUUCGAUGGAUAGGGGUUCUGAGAGGAAGGUCCCCCACAUUGGAACUGAGACACGGUCCAAACUCCUACGGGAGGCAGCAGUGAGGAAUAUUGGUCAAUGGACGAGAGUCUGAACCAGCCAAGUAGCGUGAAGGAUGACUGCCCUAUGGGUUGUAAACUUCUUUUAUACGGGAAUAAAGUGAGGCACGUGUGCCUUUUUGUAUGUACCGUAUGAAUAAGGAUCGGCGAACUCCGUGCCAGCAGCCGCGGUAAUACGGAGGAUCCGAGCGUUAUCCGGAUUUAUUGGGUUUAAAGGGAGCGUAGGCGGACGCUUAAGUCAGUUGUGAAAGUUUGCGGCUCAACCGUAAAAUUGCAGUUGAUACUGGGUGUCUUGAGUACAGUAGAGGCAGGCGGAAUUCGUGGUGUAGCGGUGAAAUGCUUAGAUAUCACGAAGAACUCCGAUUG
rnacentral:rRNA from 1 species